UAGGUGAGAGUUGUAUGCUGCAAGAAGAUGCAUCAAAUUUCCCAGCUUUAUCUGUUAGCAGCAUAAUUGUAGACCCAUCCAGAAAGUAUGACGUUUCAGUUUCCUCAAAUAUGAACAUAUUCUAGAAGUAAUAAUUGUGGUAAAUGGGAUCCUAAUUUAGACUAUGACACAUACAAGAGUAACCCCACGAUCCAAAAUACAAAGCUAGAAUACAUUAACACUGGAUAAAUC